GGCCUCGUAGCUCAGCUGGUAGAGCAUGCAUAGGCGGCGUCCAUGCGUGGGUUCGAACCCCACCGAGGCUA
rnacentral:tRNA from 1 species